rnacentral:rRNA from 1 species
AACGAACGCUGGCGGCGUGGCUAAGGCAUGCAAGUCGAGCGAACCUACUUCAAGGGUAACUGAGAGGUUGGUUAGCGGCGGACGGGUGAGGAAUACAUGGGUAACGUGCCCCGGACUCAGGGAUAGCGUUUAGAAAUGAACGGUAAUACCUGAUGACCCCGUAGGAUCGCAUGAUCCAGCGGGGCAAAGUUCCGGCGGUCUGGGAGCGGCUCAUGUCCUAUCAGCUAGUUGGCGGGGGAACGGCCCACCAAGGCUGCAACGGGUACCGGGCGUGAGAGCGCGACCCGGCACAUCGGAACUGAGACACGGUCCAGACACCUACGGGUGGGCAGCAGUCGAGUAAUUUUUCUUCAAUGGGCGAAAGCCUGAAGGAGCGACGCCGCGUGGGGAUGAAGGGCUUCGGCUCGUAAACCCCUGUCAUUUGCGAAACAAACCUUACGAUCUAAUAAGUCGUGAGCUG